AAAAAAAUGCUUAUGGGAAUCCCUGCUGAUUUGGUGGCUUUGCCUGAACACUGCCUUCUACAGUGAUUGCACGACCAAUGUCAGUUUCUUUACAGAAGGCAAGUUUUUGACCCCCC